rnacentral:lncRNA from 1 species
UGCCUUCUCAGAUGUUGGAGAGUGACUUUGGAAUCAGAUUAAAGAACUAUCCUGCACAGAAGUGUUUAUGACUUUCAGUGACAAACUGACUCCAGUGACAUUGAGCUAAUUUCUUUUGAUCUAAUGAAUGUAUCUGCUUCACCUUGUUCCCUUACUUUGAAUUGAUAAGCUCCAAGUAUUUAUUACUUUUUUGGGAUACUUUUUACUGAGUUCAUUCAUUUGUUUUAGUCUUUUAAUAAGUAUACUACAGUUAUUUCAUUAACCUGUUCUCAAGUGGUUUAGCUACCAUUCUGCCAUUUAAAUAUUUUGCUUCUAUUGGAACAUUUGUAUACUCGCAACUAUAUUUCUGUAAACAGCUGCAGUCAAAAAUAAAACAUUGAAAGUUU